rnacentral:rRNA from 1 species
UACAGAGGUCUCAAGCGUUGUUCGGAUUCAUUGGGCGUAAAGGGUGCGUAAGGCGGCGCGGUAAGUCGGGUGUGAAAUUUCGAGGCUUAACUCCGAAACUGCAUUCGAUACUGGCGUGCUUGAGGACUGGAGAGGAGACUGGAAUUCAUGGUGUAGCAGUGAAAUGCGUAGAGAUCAUGAGGAAGACCAGUGGCGAAGGCGGGUCUCUGGACAGUUCCUGACACUGAGACACGAAGGCCAGGGGAGCAAACGGG